rnacentral:tRNA from 1 species
CGCGCCAAUGCUCACUUCACGCAUCGGCCUGUCACGCCGGGGGUCGCGGGUUCGAGCCCCGUCCACUCCGCCA